CGAUGGAAGACAAGUGGAGCAGAGAUCUUCGGUAUCACAACAGUCCAAAGCAAGAGUUGAAGAUCAGGACAAAGCGACACUGAGCGCGGCGGAGAUCGGCAAAAUCAUGAUAGCCAACAAGAACUCAUCGAGUAGGGCGUUGAGGUCGGUGAUCGGAAUAGCAUAUUCACCUUUCUCUUUAAUCGAUGUUUCACAACCUUUGAUUUUGUAUUUGUUUUGUGUGAUUGGUUCUUUGAAAUCACUGUGUGUGUGGAAUUGAAAGGUCUGUAAUCAAGGAUUUACUUCAAUUUGUUGCAAUUACGAUAUGGAAAUUGAUUUGUGUUUUGUUUGAUA